AGUACCUGAAACCGUUGGUCUACAAACAGUCAAAGCAGACUUGUUCUGCGAUGGCGUGCCUUUUGAAGAAUGAGCCAACGAGUUACGGUGUGUGGCAAGGUUAACCCGAUGAGGGGAAGCCGGAGCGAAAGCGAGUCUGAACAGGGCGUUCAGUCGCAUGCCGUAGACCCGAAGCCGAGUGAGCUAUCCAUGGGCAGUGUGAAGCGGAGGUAAGACUCUGUGGAGGCGCGAACCGACUUCAGUUGAAAAUGGAGCGGAUGACCUGUGGAUAGGGGUGAAAGGCCAAUCAAACUCGGUGAUAGCUGGUUCUCCGCGAAAUGCAUUUAGGUGCAGCGUCGUGCGUUCAACGAUGGGGGUAGAGCACUGAAUGGGCUAGGGGUCCUACAAGACUACCGACCCCAAUCAAACUCCGAAUACCAUCGUUCCAGAGCACGGCAGUGAGACCUCGGGGGAUGAGCUUCGAGGUCGAGAGGGAAACAGCCCAGACCGCCGGCUAAGGUCCCAAAAUCUGAACUAAGUGGUAAACGAUGUGAGAUUGCGAAGACAGCCAGGAGGUUGGCUUGGAAGCAGCCAUCCUUGAAAGAGUGCGUAACAGCUCACUGGUCGAGUGAUCUUGCGCGGACAAUGUAACGGGGCUCAAGUUCAGUACCGAAGCCGCGGAUGCGACUCUUUGAGUCGUGUGGUAGCGGAGCGUCGAGCGUGCAGCGAAGCGGCGGGACAACCCAGCCGUGGAGCGCGUUCGAGUGCGAAUGUUGGCAUGAGUAGCGAAUGAGGGGUGAGAACCCCCUCCGCCGUAUGUCCAAGGGUUCCUGGGCGAGGCCAAUCCUCCCAGGGUGAGUCGGGAGCUAAGGCGAGGCCGAGAGGCGUAGUCGAUGCACAACUGGUUGAUAUUCCAGUACCACCAUGUUCGCGUCCGUCCCAAUACUCUGUUGCUAAGGGGCUGUGUUGACUUCGGUCAACGCGAACCGACCCACAUUGUUGCGGGAAGCCGUAGGGGGACGCAGGAAGGUAGAUGAACCCGGUGAAUGGUAGAACCGGGGUAAGCGUGUAGGAGGAGGACCAGGUAAAUCCGGGCCUCAUAAACUCUGAGACGUGAUACCGAGCCGCUUCAGGCGAAGUCAUUGAUCCUAUGCUGCCUAGAAAAGCCCAGCAGCGAGUUGACAUGGUGCCCGUACCCCAAACCAACACAGGUGGACAGGUAGAGCAUACCAAGGCGAGUGGGAUAACUAUGGUUAAGGAACUCGGCAAAUUGCCUCCGUAACUUCGGGAGAAGGAGGACCCCAGUAGCGUGAUGAGACUUGCUCUCUGAGCGUGAAGGGGUGGCACAAAAUUGAGGGAAGCGACUGUUUACCAAAAACACAGCAGCGUGCUAAGCCGUAAGGCGCUGUAUACGCUGUGACUCCUGCCCGGUGCUGGAAGGUUACGGGGAUGGGUUAGUCCUUCGGGACGAAGCUCUGAACCUAAGCCCCAGUAAACGGCGGCCGUAACUAUAACGGUCCUAAGGUAGCGAAAUUCCUUGUCGGGUAAGUUCCGACCUGCACGAAUGGAGUAACGACUUCCCUACUGUCUCAACCAUAGACCCAGCGAAAUUGAAGUACGAGUAAAGAUGCUCGUUAGCUGCAGAAGGACGGAAAGACCCCGUGGACCUUUACUAUAACUUGAUGUUGUGUUUUGUCA
rnacentral:rRNA from 1 species